AAAGGAAUAGACGGGGGCCCGCACAAGCGGUGGAGCAUGUGGUUUAAUUCGACGCAACGCGAAGAACCUUACCUGGGCUUGAACUGUAAUGGACCGGUGCAGAGAUGUGCCUUUUCGCAAGAACUGUUACAGAGGUGCUGCAUGGCUGUCGUCAGCUCGUGUCGUGAGAUGUUGGGUUAAGUCCCGCAACGAGCGCAACCCUUACCUCUAGUUGCCAGCGCGUAAUGGUGGGAACUCUAGAGGGACUGCCCGGGUUAACCGGGAGGAAGGUGGGGAUGAUGUCAAGUCCUCAUGGCCCUUAUGUCCAGGGCUACACACGUGCUACAAUGGGCGAUACAAACCGUCGCGAAGCCGCGAGGUGAAGCUAAUCGGAGAAAGUCGCCCUCAGUUCGGAUUGUAGUCUGCAACUCGACUACAUGAAGGUGGAAUCGCUAGUAAUCGUGUAUCAGAAUGAUACGGUGAAUACGUUCCCGGGCCUUGUACACACCGCCCGU
rnacentral:rRNA from 1 species